rnacentral:rRNA from 1 species
UACGUAGGGUGCAAGCGUUGUCCGGAAUUAUUGGGCGUAAAGAGCUCGUAGGCGGUUUGUUGCGUCGGCUGUGAAAUCCCGAGGCUCAACCUCGGGUCUGCAGUCGAUACGAGCAAACUAGAGUGUUGCAGGGGAGACUGGAAUUCCUGGUGUAGCGGUGAAAUGCGUAGAUAUCGGAAGGAACACCAGUGGCGAAAGCGGCUUCCUGGUCCAGCACCGACGUCAGGCACGAAAGCGUGGGGAGCAAACAGG